ensembl:processed_transcript BC065397 cDNA sequence BC065397
UUUCCAAAUGAGGAAACUGUGUGAUAACUAGAAGCAGAUGGACUGGGCUCACUUACAGGAGAGGAUGAGAAAGGAAGUCUCUUGGCAAGAGGCAUAAAUGGCAUUAUCUUCUUGGGUUAUGAAGAAUCUUCUUACUUGACAGAGACAAAAACUUGGGAUCAGAUGUAAACUUUCAGCUACUGUUCUGAUGUCAAGCUUGUCUGCCUGUUGCCAUGCUCCCCAUCAUGAUGAUCGUGGACUCAUCCUCUGAAACCCUCCAGAAUGAAAGGAGUAGUCAUCGCCCUCUCCACUACCAUCAGUAUAGUGCAGCAGUGAGGAGCCAUGGACAACAUCUCCUCCAACAUCUCGGCCUUCCAGUCUCUGCACAAUGUUAUGCUGGGCUUGGACUCAGCUGGCAGACCAAGGUGCUGUACCGGCUCAAUUUCAACGUGUUCGUGAACACAGUGUCCACCAGCUUCAACACCGAGAAGAUCAAACUGUGCAACAGCACUGACGAGGACUUCAGCUGCCACUUCUGGGAAGUGAGCGGCCAGGAGAAGCUACAACCACUGUAGAAGCUGUGGCCGCUGUGGAAGUCCUUUAGCUGCUGCACAGAUAGCAUCAUCUAUGUGGUGGAUUUGGUGGACGUGGACCAGCUGGAGGAGGUCAAUUUGAUAUCUUAAUGCAAUUGCACUAAAUUAUAUAAGUUGUGUUGGUUGUAGUGGCACAUGCCAGUAGGAUUUGCUAAUAAAUAUAAAUUGCACUAAAUAAAUAAAUUGCACCAAAUAAAAA